ACGCCAAACAAAGCAGUUAGCGAGAGCAUCAACAGAACUUGUACUCCCAUAAACAAAAGUCAAGGACUCCGCUGUCUUUCUCGUGAAUUGUCAGAGAUAAAAGAAGGUGACUCUAUCGUCCUUGAUGGUGACGUCAACAGCAACGGGUACCUCGGGCUCGGCAGUCGGCAAGCGAAUUGGAUCAUCUUAUUGGUUGCGUUGGUCACGAAUAAGGUUAUCGGGCUAUUUGUUGUUGUGGUGUGCAGUUUAUCGGAGACUACCUGUUGCCUGAUUCUCGUGAAAUCAAACCACUCUUAAGGAAUUAAGCUUUAGAAAAGGCUAGUAAAUUCCUCUUAAACGACUCGGCAAUGGAUUCUUUCAUUACCAGGUUUGGCAUAAAGAAAAAGGUGAGGUGGUUUAUUGGAACAGCUUUAAGACUAAGUUACUUUACUUAAUCAAGAACUUCUGUGCUCAUUGCUCUUACUCUAGAAUAGUUUGUAAAUGAGAAAUUGCACCUGGAGUUACUGACAAACUUAUGCAGUAAGUUUCAAGCGCCGAUUGUUCAAAAGUGUAAUUGACAUUAAAAUUCCAAUAAAUUACAAUAAAUGAUUCGCGUAAAUAUAAUUUACCUCACCAAUAACAGCUAUUGCAAAAUGUAGGUUUUGCCAUAAAUUCAGUAUUAGAUAUUUCAAGAACUUAAACCUUGAUUAAGUAGGAUAAGCUUUUAACUAAACUACUUUGACAAAUAAGUUACUAUGACUUUUAAAAUCGUUAACAAUGUAACCUUGGUAGUCAAACGUUGCACAUGCAUAACCACUUGUUAGUACUAAAGGAAAUUAUGGUAAACGGAAUGGGUGUUAUUGCUUAGUUUAAUCAAAAAAAACCUGACUUUGUAUAAUUUAAACGUAAAGUUG